AGACCCGAAACCCGGUGAUCUAGCCAUGGGCAGGUUGAAGGUUGGGUAACACUAACUGGAGGACCGAACCGACUAAUGUUGAAAAAUUAGCGGAUGACUUGUGGCUGGGGGUGAAAGGCCAAUCAAACCGGGAGAUAGCUGGUUCUCCCCGAAAGCUAUUUAGGUAGCGCCUCGUGAAUUCAUCUCCGGGGGUAGAGCACUGUUUCGGCAAGGGGGUCAUCCCGACUUACCAACCCGAUGCAAACUGCGAAUACCGGAGAAUGUUAUCACGGGAGACACACGGCGGGUGCUAACGUCCGUCGUGAAGAGGGAAACAACCCAGACCGCCAGCUAAGGUCCCAAAGUCAUGGUUAAGUGGGAAACGAUGUGGGAAGGCCCAGACAGCCAGGAUGUUGGCUUAGAAGCAGCCAUCAUUUAAAGAAAGCGUAAUAGCUCACUGGUCGAGUCGGCCUGCGCGGAAGAUGUAACGGGGCUAAACCAUGCACCGAAGCUGCGGCAGCGACACUGUGUGUUGUUGGGUAGGGGAGCGUUCUGUAAGCCUGUGAAGGUGUGCUGUGAGGCAUGCUGGAGGUAUCAGAAGUGCGAAUGCUGACAUAAGUAACGAUAAAGCGGGUGAAAAGCCCGCUCGCCGGAAGACCAAGGGUUCCUGUCCAACGUUAAUCGGGGCAGGGUGAGUCGACCCCUAAGGCGAGGCCGAAAGGCGUAGUCGAUGGGAAACAGGUUAAUAUUCCUGUACUUGGUGUUACUGCGAAGGGGGGACGGAGAAGGCUAUGUUGGCCGGGCGACGGUUGUCCCGGUUUAAGCGUGUAGGCUGGUUUUCCAGGCAAAUCCGGAAAAUCAAGGCUGAGGCGUGAUGACGAGGCACUACGGUGCUGAAGCAACAAAUGCCCUGCUUCCAGGAAAAGCCUCUAAGCAUCAGGUAACAUCAAAUCGUACCCCAAACCGACACAGGUGGUCAGGUAGAGAAUACCAAGGCGCUUGAGAGAACUCGGGUGAAGGAACUAGGCAAAAUGGUGCCGUAACUUCGGGAGAAGGCACGCUGAUAUGUAGGUGAAGUCCCUCGCGGAUGGAGCUGAAAUCAGUCGAAGAUACCAGCUGGCUGCAACUGUUUAUUAAAAACACAGCACUGUGCAAACACGAAAGUGGACGUAUACGGUGUGACGCCUGCCCGGUGCCGGAAGGUUAAUUGAUGGGGUCAGCGCAAGCGAAGCUCUUGAUCGAAGCCCCGGUAAACGGCGGCCGUAACUAUAACGGUCCUAAGGUAGCGAAAUUCCUUGUCGGGUAAGUUCCGACCUGCACGAAUGGCGUAAUGAUGGCCAGGCUGUCUCCACCCGAGACUCAGUGAAAUUGAACUCGCUGUGAAGAUGCAGUGUACCCGCGGCAAGACGGAAAGACCCCGUGAACCUUUACUAUAGCUUGACACUGAACAUUGAGCCUUGAUGUGUAGGAUAGGUGGGAGGCUUUGAAGUGUGGACGCCAGUCUGCAUGGAGCCGACCUUG
rnacentral:rRNA from 1 species